AUGGAUCUGCAGAUCUCAGUUUUUCUUCUGUCUGUGCUUUUCACUGCAGGUACAAAGACAAAUCGCAUUUGUAAUGUUUCUGGGUACAAAUACAGAUCACAAAAUUUCUCUCUCUCACCCUCUCUGUCUUUUAUUACUAAAGGACAGUCUCUCGACUGUUAUGUGUGCAGGCCUUCAUGUGCAGACCCAAAGGUGGAAACAUGUCCAAAUGGAUUUAACAGGUGCUCGAUUCAAACAAGCGUGUCUGAAAUUGGUUCCGCUAAGUUGACAACCAAAACUAAAGAAUGUGUACCUGAAGCUUAUUGUAAACCUGGGACCAGUCAGAUAUUAAUUUGGACGGCAUCUAUCCAGUGCUGUGACACUGACCUUUGCAAUGCAGCAGGUAUUGCUAUUUAUUUGACCAUGUCUGACCAGUCUGUCCACAGUGACAAACAAUAAUACUAAACACAAGUGACUGCUCAAAGUAGCAUAAUAUCAGAUUUCAAGAGUAGUCCUGAAUAAUAAGUGAGAAACUUAUUAGUCUAAUAGUUUUUUUUUUUUUUAAGGGGGGGGGGGUGAAAUGCUAUUUCAUGCAUACUGAGUUUUUUACACUGUUAAAGAGUUGGAUUCCCAUGCUAAACAUGGACAAAGUUUAAAAAAUUAAGUUGUACGUUUGAAGGAGUAUUUCUGUUCCAAAAAUACUACUUCCAGUUUGUCACAAGUUUCGGAAAGUUUUUUCCGAGUAUGGCUCUGUGUGACGUUAGAUGGAGUGGAAUUUCCUUAUAUGGGUCCUGAGGGCACGUCUACCGGAAGAGCGCGCGCUCCCGUAUAGCAGAACACUGAGAGCACAACAGACUUCACUGAUCAGAGCGAGAGCGUCGCGAAAUGUCACAAAAAAGAAGUGUGUUUUUGGUUGCCAGGGCAAGACAACCCUGCACAGAUUACCAAAAGAGAAACAGCAUUAAGGGACCAGUGGAUGGAGUUUAUUUUUACAGAGCAUCAAUGGAGUUGUGCAAGUGUUUGUGUUUGUUCCCUGCAUUUCGAAGAUGCUUGUUUUACAAACAAGGCCCAGUUUGACGACGGAUUUGCGUAUCGUUUAUUUCUCAAGGAAGAUGCAAUCCCAACGAAAAAGGGUCACGAUUGUGUGUUGGAACCGCAGGCGGUGAGUAAAACUGCUUCAAAUAUCUCUGCGUCCUUGUUAGUGCGUCCGCCUCCCAUCGGAGACCCGGGUUCGAGCCCCGCUCGGAGCGAGUCGUUGCUGCUGCUGCUCUCGUUCAGUUUCAGCCUUCACAGCUGUCACAGCUUCCAAACGCUCUCAAAGCAACUGGCGCUCGUGAUUCUUUAGCUCCGCCCACAUGUCACGCCUCCAGGCGCUCGUGUUUUUCCGGGAAAAAUCGGUACAGACUAUCUUUCUCUUAUGAAUAUAAUAAAACUAAAGACUUUUUGGAGUUAUGAAGGAUGCAGUACUACUCUAUAGGUACUCAAGAUUAACAGGAUAUUGAGUGAAAACGAGCAUUUCACCCCCCCCCCCCUUUAAUUGAUUUGAAAAAACUAUGAUUAAAUUUGUUUCUAAUAAAUAAUCAUUUUAAUAUCAGUAGUAGUAGCAGUCAUUAACAGUAGUUUCCUUAUUGUCUUAAUUAGAUGGUGUGUAUAAGAGAAGCUUCCUCCUGCUGUGGUCUCUUCUGUUUUUCUACAUCCUGUUCCAGUGAAUCCCGCUGCAGAUUCUACCGUUGCAGCAAAAACUCAAUGUCACACAUUUCUAUUCAUACUUUACUGAAGAAAAUGGUGUUCAUGUUUUUCUGGUGUUGUUGAUUUUAAAGUAUCAUGAUUUGAGCAACAGAAACUUUGUAUUUUAAUAAACAGUUCUCAAACUAAAUCCUGCAUUAAACAAUGUAAUAGACAAAUAAUUAUAUAAAACAAACACUUUAUAUUUACAUUUAUUCAUUUACCAGAUGCUUUUAUCCAAAGCGAUUUACAAAUGAGGACAGUGAUCAAAAACAACAAAAAGAGCAAUGAUCUAUAAGUGCUAUAACAAGUCUCAGUUAGGUCAACACAGUACACGUAGCAUGGGAUUUUAACUAAUAUAAUAAAUAAAAAGAAAACGGAUAGAAUAGAAAAAUGAAUAAAGCAAGCUAGUGUUAAAAGUAUUUACACACACACACAAACAAUUGCAUAAUAAAUGAAAAGAAAAUAUAAUACAAAAAGGUUUGAAAGGUAGUUAGAUUUUUUUAAGAAUAGAAAUAGAAUAGUGAGUGUUAAAGUUAGAGGAUCAAAUAAAGAUGGAAGAGAUGGGUUUUAAGCAGAUUCUUGAAGAUGGCUAAGGACUCGGAUUGAGUUGGGCAGGUCAUUCCACCAGGAGGGAACAUUUAAUUUAAAAGUCCAUAAAAGUUACUUUGUGCUUCUUUGGAAUGGGACAAUCAAGCGACGUUCACUUGCAGAAUGCACAUAAGUCUGAAGUAACAAAUUUAGGUAAAUGGGUGCAGAGCCAAUGGUAGUUUUGUAGGCAAACAUCAAUGCCUUGAAUUUUAUGCGAGCAGCUAUUGGAAGCCAGUGCAAACUGAUAAACAGAGGUGUGACGUGUAUUCUUUUUGGCUCAUUAAAAGAUAAUCUUGCUGCUGCGUAUAUAAUAAUAUACAUUUAUUAUAUAUAUAUAUAUAUAUAUAUAUAU
rnacentral:lncRNA from 1 species